UUAAGUUCAGCGGGUAUCCCUACCUGAUCCGAGGUCAACCUGAAAAAAAUUGGGGGUUGCUGGCGAGCACACACCCGGACCUCCAGAGCGAGAAGAAUUACUACGCUCGGAGUGACUAGCGAGCCCGCCACUGGUUCAGGGCCUGCGGCAGCCGCAGGUCCCCAACACAAGCCGGGGGCUUGAUGGUUGAAAUGACGCUC
rnacentral:misc_RNA from 1 species